UAAACCUACGGGGGGCAGCAGUGGGGAAUAUUGCACAAUGGGGGAAACCCUGAUGCAGCGACGCCGCGUGAGUGAAGAAGUAUUUCGGUACGUAAAGCUCUAUCAGCAGGGAAGGAUAAUGACGGUACCUGACUAAGAAGCCCCGGCUAACUACGUGCCAGCAGCCGCGGUAAUACGUAGGGGGCAAGCGUUAUCCGGAUUUACUGGGUGUAAAGGGAGCGCAGGCGGCGCGUUAAGCCUGGUGUGAAAGCCCGCGGCCCAACCGCGGGACUGCAUUGGGAACUGGCGCGCUGGAGUGCCGGAGG
rnacentral:rRNA from 1 species